AAGACUAUACUUUCAGGUAUCAUUUCUAUAGUUCUUUACUAUCGAGGUUUCUCUGACUGUAUAGAAUACCUGAGACCAUUAGGAGAGGUAUCCUGAGCGUGAGGCCCGCUGUAGGUGCUGCUUUCUUGCAGCUGCCUCUUUCCAUUGAUGGCCAGUCUUCUCUCCCUUUGGGAGAGUGAGAGGGAAGGGAAAAGGA
ensembl:snoRNA U3 Small nucleolar RNA U3